CACAGGCCCCAGGCUCACCUGAGCCCCCAAGGCCAUCACAGUCUCAGAGGGUCACACCCCUGGGAACUCCCCAUCCAUCCUUGCAGGCCCUUCUCUCAUGCCCCUACCAGAUGCCCAGGGAGAAGGCCAACAGGAGGGUGCAGCCCAGGCUUCCGGACCACCCUGACUUGCGCUGGAACCUCCUCACACACCAGCACUCCCCCAGACAGGGGUCAGGCAAAGCCAAGGCCCUGGGGACACAGGCAGAUGACUCACCCCCUUUUCUUCUCCGAAUGGAGGCUUGGAAUCAAGAAACAGAGUAAAGGGCAUAAGAGGCAGGCUUGGCACCCGGGCCCCAUUAUCCACACUCAUUUCCCCACCCCAUCGUUCUCACCACCACCUCCCCCAAAAACCAUGACCUCCCAAAUCUGCCCCCAGCCUACACCUCUUUAUCAGACCGUGAAUAGCAAAUCUGCCCAACUCUGGAAUCAGUUGGUACAUGCCUUGAAAGCCAAGGAGGAGACAACCACAAGCAGGGACUUGUGUGUGUGUGCCACAUGCAUGCAGGUGCACACAGCGCGUGUCCACUCACCCACGCACAGACAUGCGUGCCACACGCAUGCAGGUGCACACAGCGCGUGUCCGCUCACCCAUGCACACACGUGUGCCACACGCAUGCAGGUGCACACAGCACAUCCGCUCACCCACGCACAAACGUGUGCCACACGCAUGCAGGUGCACACAGCGCGUGUCCACUCACCCACGCACAGACAUGUGUGCCACACGCAUGCAGGCGCAAACAGCGCGUGUCCACUCACCCACGCACAGACGUGUGCCACACGCAUGCAGGUGCACACAGCGCGUGUCCACUCACCCACGCACAGACGUGUGCCACACGCAUGCAGGCGCACACAGCGCGUCCGCUCACCCACGCACACACGUGUGCCACACGCAUGCAGGUGCACACAGCGCGUCCGCUCACCCACGCACAGACGUGUGCCACACGCAUGCAGGUGCACACAGCGCGUCCGCUCACCC
rnacentral:lncRNA from 1 species